rnacentral:rRNA from 1 species
UACGGAAGGCAGCAGUGGGGAAUCUUGCGCAAUGGGCGAAAGCCUGACGCAGCCAUGCCGCGUGAAUGAUGAAGGUCUUAGGAUUGUAAAAUUCUUUCACCGGGGACGAUAAUGACGGUACCCGGAGAAGAAGCCCCGGCUAACUUCGUGCCAGCAGCCGCGGUAAUACGAAGGGGGCUAGCGUUGCUCGGAAUUACUGGGCGUAAAGAGCACGUAGGUGGUUUUUUAAGUCAGAUGUGAAAUCCCUGGGCUUAACCUAGGAACUGCAUUUUGAAACUGAAAAUACUAGAGUAUCGUAGAGGGAGGUAGAAUUCUAGGUGUAGCGAUGAAAUGCGUAGAUAUCUGGAGGAAUACCUGUGGCGAAAGCGGCCUCCUAAACGAAUACUGACACUGAGGUGCGAAAGCGUGGGGAGCAAACAGGGAUUAGAUACC